ensembl:snoRNA
AGUUGUCAGUGAUGAGAAAACGGAUCUUGCGUCAGGCAUGGCGCCCGACACUGAUGAGGAUACCUUUCUGCCUUCCUUCUGAGACUACA